rnacentral:rRNA from 1 species
AUUGAACGCUGGCGGCAGGCUUAACACAUGCAAGUCGAGCGGAGAUGAGGUGCUUGCACCUUAUCUUAGCGGCGGACGGGUGAGUAAUGCUUAGGAAUCUGCCUAUUAGUGGGGGACAACAUUCCGAAAGGAAUGCUAAUACCGCAUACGUCCUACGGGAGAAAGCAGGGGAUCUUCGGACCUUGCGCUAAUAGAUGAGCCUAAGUCGGAUUAGCUAGUUGGUGGGGUAAAGGCCUACCAAGGCGACGAUCUGUAGCGGGUCUGAGAGGAUGAACCGCCAAACUGGGACUGAGACACGGCCCAUACUCCUACGGGAGGCAGCAGUGGGGAAUAUGGGACAAUGGGGGGAACCCUGAUCCAGCCAUGCCGCGUGUGUGAAGAAGGCCUUAUGGUUGUAAAGCACUUUAAGCGAGGAGGAGGCUACUGAGACUAAUACUCUUGGAUAGUGGACGUUACUCGCAGAAUAAGCACCGGCUAACUCUGUGCCAGCCGCCGCCGUAA